UAGCAGGAAAGUAAAAACAUAGUUUGGUUGGUAGUCCAAACAUAAUGGUUUUUGAUUAUCAGUAUCCUUCCUCCUAGGUCGUCCGUCUUUCCUAAUUAUUUU
rnacentral:ncRNA from 1 species